rnacentral:rRNA from 1 species
GACGUAGGGCGCGAGCGUUGUCCGGAUUUAUUGGGCGUAAAGAGCUCGUAGGCGGCUUGUCGCGUCGUCCGUGAAAACUUGGGGCUCAACCCCAAGCUUGCGGUCGAUACGGGCAGGCUAGAGUUCGGUAGGGGAGACUGGAAUUCCUGGUGUAGCGGUGAAAUGCGCAGAUAUCAGGAGGAACACCGGUGGCGAAGGCGGGUUGCUGGGCUGACACUGACGCUGAAGCGCGAAAGCUAGGGGAGCGAACGGG